GCUAUCUUUGGGGAUUGGGCUAUUGACUGGAAAGGGACAUGAAAAAAUCUUCAGGGUAGAUUCCUGGUUGCCUGGGAACCACCAGAGCCUGGGAAGAACCUGAAGAGCUGGAUGGAUUCAGUCCAAGGAGAGAAAGGGGUGACCAAAAUGAGGAAGAUUCCAGGCUAUAACACACAUGAAACUAUCAUACCAAAGGUUUUUUAUUUAGACAAUUCCAGAGACCACUGAGAAAUUGAGAUGGAGUAACAUAUUGUGAAAUAAAUAUUUCAUUUAGAUUUAGAAGAUCUGAGAUCAAGCCUUGCUUCAAACUUGACCUUGAAAAAUUACUUAACAUCUCAAGAUCUUCAUUUCUUCCUAGGCAAAAGCUGAUUGAUUCUGGG